rnacentral:rRNA from 1 species
GCGUUAAUCGGAAUUACUGGGCGUAAAGGGCGCGUAGGUGGUUUGAUAAGUCGGAUGUGAAAUCCCCGGGCUUAACCUGGGAACUGCAUUCGAAACUAUUUGACUAGAGUUUGAGAGAGGGAAGUGGAAUUCCACAUGUAGCGGUGAAAUGCGUAGAUAUGUGGAGGAACAUCAGUGGCGAAGGCGGCUUCCUGGCUUAAAACUGGCACUGAGGCGCGAAAGCGUG